AUUCCAGCUCCAAUAGCGUAUAUUAAAGUUGUUGCGGUUAAAAAGCUCGUAGUUGGAUUUCUGCUGAGGAUGACCGGUCCGCCCUCCGGGUGAGUAUCUGGCUCAGCCUUGGCAUCUUCCUGAAGAACGUAACUGCACUUGACUGUGUGGUGCGGUAUUUAGGACAUUUACUUUGAGGAAAUUAGAGUGUUUCAAGCAAGCUUACGCCUUGAAUACAUUAGCAUGGAAUAAUAAGAUAGGACCUCGGUUCUAUUUUGUUGGUUUCUGUAACUGAAGUAAUGAUUGAUAGGGAUAGUUGGGGGUGCUAGUAUUGAGCGGCCAGAGGUGAAAUUCUUGGAUUCGCUCAAGACUAACUUAUGCGAAAGCAUUCACCAAGGAUGUCUUCAUCG
rnacentral:rRNA from 1 species